rnacentral:rRNA from 1 species
AAUAGAUACCCAGGUAGUCCACGCCGUAAACGUUGGGCGCUAGAUGUGGGGACCAUUCCACGGUUUCCGCGUCGUAGCUAACGCAUUAAGCGCCCCGCCUGGGGAGUACGGCCGCAAGGCUAAAACUCAAAGGAAUUGACGGGGGCCCGCACAAGCGGCGGAGCAUGCGGAUUAAUUCGAUGCAACGCGAAGAACCUUACCAAGGCUUGACAUAUGCGAGAACGCUCUAGAAAUAGAGAACUCUUUGGACACUCGUAUACAGGUGGUGCAUGGUUGUCGUCAGCUCGUGUCGUGAGAUGUUGGGUUAAGUCCCGCAACGAGCGCAACCCUCGUCGCAUGUUGCCAGCACGUAAUGGUGGGAACUCAUGUGAGACUGCCGGGGUCAACUCGGAGGAAGGUGGGGAUGACGUCAAAUCAUCAUGCCCCUUAUGUCUUGGGCCUCACGCAUGCUACAAUGGCCGGUACAAAGGGCUGCGAAACCGCAAGGUGGAGCGAAUCCCAAAAAGCCGGUCUCAGUUCGGAUUGAGGU